rnacentral:rRNA from 1 species
GUCGAACGAGCUUCCGUUGAAUGACGUGCUUGCACUGAUUUCAACAAUGAAGCGAGUGGCGAACUGGUGAGUAACACGUGGGGAAUCUGCCCAGAAGCAGGGGAUAACACUUGGAAACAGGUGCUAAUACCGUAUAACAACAAAAUCCGCAUGGAUUUUGUUUGAAAGGUGGCUUCGGCUAUCACUUCUGGAUGAUCCCGCGGCGUAUUAGUUAGUUGGUGAGGUAAAGGCCCACCAAGACGAUGAUACGUAGCCGACCUGAGAGGGUAAUCGGCCACAUUGGGACUGAGACACGGCCCAAACUCCUACGGGAGGCAGCAGUAGGGAAUCUUCCACAAUGGACGAAAGUCUGAUGGAGCAAUGCCGCGUGAGUGAAGAAGGGUUUCGGCUCGUAAAACUCUGUUGUUAAAGAAGAACACCUUUGAGAGUAACUGUUCAAGGGUUGACGGUAUUUAACCAGAAAGCCACGGCUAACUACGUGCCAGCAGCCGCGGUAAUACGUAGGUGGCAAGCGUUGUCCGGAUUUAUUGGGCGUAAAGCGAGCGCAGGCGGUUUUUUAAGUCUGAUGUGAAAGCCUUCGGCUUAACCGGAGAAGUGCAUCGGAAACUGGGAGACUUGAGUGCAGAAGAGGACAGUGGAACUCCAUGUGUAGCGGUGGAAUGCGUAGAUAUAUGGAAGAACACCAGUGGCGAAGGCGGCUGUCUAGUCUGUAACUGACGCUGAGGCUCGAAAGCAUGGGUAGCGAACAGGAUUAGAUACCCUGGUAGUCCAUGCCGUAAACGAUGAGUGCUAAGUGUUGGAGGGUUUCCGCCCUUCAGUGCUGCAGCUAACGCAUUAAGCACUCCGCCUGGGGAGUACGACCGCAAGGGUUGAAACUCAAAGG